CGGGGCGUAGCGCAGCCUGGUAGCGCGCUUGCUUCGGGAGCAAGAGGUCCGGAGUUCAAAUCUCCGCGCCCCGACCA
rnacentral:tRNA from 1 species